rnacentral:rRNA from 1 species
AGAGUUUGAUCCUGGCUCAGGAUGAACGCUAGCGGCAGGCUUAACACAUGCAAGUCGAGGGGUAACGGGGAAGCUUGCUUCCGCCGACGACCGGCGCACGGGUGCGUAACGCGUAUACAAUCUACCUUAUACUGGGGUAUAGCCUUUAGAAAUGAAGAUUAACCCCCCAUAGUCUCUUAGAGUGGCAUCACUUCUAGAGUAAAGGUUACGGUAUAAGAUGAGUAUGCGUUCUAUUAGUUUGUUGGUGUGGUAACGGCACACCAAGACUACGAUAGAUAGGGGCCCUGAGAGGGGGAUCCCCCACACUGGUACUGAGACACGGACCAGACUCCUACGGGAGGCAGCAGUGAGGAAUAUUGGACAAUGGAGGCAACUCUGAUCCAGCCAUGCCGCGUGCAGGAAGACUGCCCUAUGGGUUGUAAACUGCUUUUAUACAGGAAGAAACACCUCUACGUGUAGAGGCUUGACGGUACUGUAAGAAUAAGGAUCGGCUAACUCCGUGCCAGCAGCCGCGGUAAUACGGAGGAUCCAAGCGUUAUCCGGAAUUAUUGGGUUUAAAGGGUCCGUAGGUGGACAAUUAAGUCAGAGGUGAAAUCCUGCAGCUCAACUGUAGAAUUGCCUUUGAAACUGGUUGUCUUGAGUCAUUAUGAAGUGGUUAGAAUGUGUAGUGUAGCGGUGAAAUGCAUAGAUAUUACACAGAAUACCAAUUGCGAAGGCAGAUCACUAAUAAUGUACUGACACUGAUGGACGAAAGCGUGGGUAGCGAACAGGAUUAGAUACCCUGGUAGUCCACGCCGUAAACG